rnacentral:rRNA from 1 species
UACAGAGGUCCCAAGCGUUGUUCGGAUUCAUUGGGCGUAAAGGGUGUGUAGGUGGCGCCGUAAGUCGGGUGUGAAAACCCGGGGCUUAACCCUGGGCUUGCAGUGGAUACGGGCAGACUAGAGGCAGGUAGGGGAGAAUGGAAUUCCCGGUGUAGCGGUGAAAUGCGCAGAUAUCGGGAGGAACACCGGUGGCGAAGGCGGUUCUCUGGGCCUGACCUGACGCUGAGGAGCGAAAGCGUGGGGAGCGAACAGG